UAUCUACUCCCUCCGUUCGGAAUUACUUGUCACGGAAAUGGAUGUAUCUAGAUGUAUUUUAGUUGUAGAUACAUCCAUUUUUGUGACAAGUAAUUCCGAACGGAGGGAGUACAUU
rnacentral:pre_miRNA from 1 species